UAUAGUUAUAUAGUUGGUCAGUCCAAAGUAUGUAUAGUUAUAUAGUUGGUCAGUCCAAAGUAUGUAUAGUUAUAUAGUUGGUCAGUCCAUGGUAUGUAUAGUGAUAUAGCUGGUCAGUCCAUGGUAUGUAUAGUUAUAUAGUUGGUCAGUCCAUAUAGUAUGUAUAGUUAUAUAGCUGGUCAUUCCAUGGUAUGUAUAGUUAUAUAGCUGGUCAGUACAAAGUAUGUAUAGUUAUACAUAUAGCUGGUCAGUUCAAGGUAUGUUUAGUUAUAUAGAUGGUCAGAGUGUAGUUCAACCAAUGAGUUUGAGGGAAAUCAUGCAGAUUUCUAAAAAAAAAAGCCACACAUUCUUCUUACUAUGUUCAGAUGUCUUAAUAGUAUCUUAUAGGAGCAUUGAUAUUAAAUGAAAUAUCUCCCAAUAUACCAUAUUUGUGUGAUAUAAUUCACAAUGCCAUUUAUAUUUCAAGGUAAAAACAGAAUCAAUGUUUAUGCUUGUAAUACAGUCACAUGUAGUAAAACAAAUGCCUGUAUUGCUAGACACAUGUCAGCAUAAUGGCAUGGUUAAUUUGUGCAAUAUACUUAGGUAUGUGAUACACAACAGCUAAUUAUGCAUUCUUUGCAUGUUUUGCCAAAAUAUACAAACAGUUUUACAAAUUAGGUGUCAAUAGCAAUGCCUUUGGUAGGCCAAGAUACAUACUAAAGUUGAUUAAGUUACUUUUGUUAAAUUGGACCAGAGUAGUGAUUCAUAUGCUUGUAAAAAAUACCACUGGAUAUGCUAUUUAGAGGACUCUUACCCUACACCCAGAUAGUGCUAGCACCAGUACAUAUCUAUAGAGGUUAAAAUGUUAUACAAUAAAAAUAGAAUAAAUAAAGAUGUGACCAUAGUAUUCCUCUAUAUACAGGUAUUUAUCAUUGAUACAUAUACAGGUAUUAUUCACCUAGAUACACAGGUAUGUUUCACCUAAAUAUACUGGUAUUCAUCACCUCAAUAUACAGGUAUUCAUCACCUCAAUAUACAGGUAUUCAUCAUCUUAAUAUACAGGUAUUCAUCAUCUCAAUAUACAGGUAUUCAUCAUCUCAAUAUACAGGUAUUCACUGCCUCAAUAUACAGGUAUUCAUCACCUCAAUAUACAGGUAUCUUAAUAAUAAUAUACAGAAUACUGAUAUUCUUCCUUAAACAAAACUACACAUACACUCUACACAGAGGAAAAAUACAUUUGUGGUAAUAAAAUAAUUAAACUUAAACAAAA